rnacentral:rRNA from 1 species
CCUACGGGAGGCAGCAGUGGGGAAUAUUGCACAAUGGGGGAAACCCUGAUGCAGCAACGCCGCGUGAAGGAAGACGGUUUUCGGAUUGUAAACUUCUGUUCUUAGUGAAGAAUAAUGACGGUAGCUAAGGAGCAAGCCACGGCUAACUACGUGCCAGCAGCCGCGGUAAUACGUAGGUGGCAAGCGUUGUCCGGAAUUACUGGGUGUAAGGGGAGCGCAGGCGGGAAGUCAAGUCAGCUGUGAAAACUACGGGCUUAACUUGUAGACUGCAGUUGAAACUGGUUUUCUUGAGUGCAGUAGGGGUUGGCGGAAUUCCGAGUGUAGCGGUGAAAUGCGUAGAUAUUCGGAGGAACACCGGUGGCGAAGGCGGCCAGCUGGGCUUUAACUGACGCUGAGGCUCGAAAGUGUGGGGAGCAAACAGGAUUAGAUACCCUGGUAGUC